rnacentral:lncRNA from 1 species
AAGCAGUGGAGGGUGGGGUGGUGGAGAGGGAGAUGCCAUAGCAUCAAAGAGUAUGUGUCAAGGAAUAAAGUAUAAGAAGCCUGGAAAGGUUAGAGUAGGGACUAAAUUAUGAAGAGCUUUGACUCGGACUUUAGGAAAUUUUCCAAAAAGUCUUGAAAUGAAAAGGAGUUUCUCGUUAAGCAUUAGUUACUAACUAGAAAGUUAAAUUAUCCAGAACCUCCAUUCCCUAGACAUUCUACCUAUUUGUGAUUUUAUAGAAUUAUCACUCUUUAGAAACCAAGCAGAAAACACAGGCCUGAGAGAAAUUAGGCUGUUACUAAAAACAGAUGCUAUAUCUGAAAUGAUAAAUCUGUCUCCCCAGUAAGAUGAGACAUGUCUGUGAGUUAUGGUAGAUGACAGACUGAACUUUGAUGAGAAAUCACUCUGUCCUGUUCUCCCUUCCCGAUUAGAUCACCAUCACCUUUACCAUCAUUAAGGCAUAUUCUGUGUCAGCUCAGGGACCAUGUGUGAGUGGGUAAGACUCAUCUGGAAACUGAGAAGGCUAUGGAUAAUCAGUUGAUUUGCAGCCAACCAGUGGGCAAACAGAGUGAACCAUGGAUGAAGCUAGGCCGACCAGAGUGGACCAUGAGUAAAGUGAUGUCAGUUC